UCUUUCUUGUGAGAGUUUACUUGAUAGUACAAUAUGUUAGAAGAAACUACCAUGUCUCCGAAAUGAAUCAUUGAUCGCUCUUUAUACACUUACAACUCGGUUUCUUUCAUAUAAGUUCUGCUGCCUUUCUUUAAGUUGAGCUACUGCCCUGUUAAUUAUUGUAACAAACAUUAUCAUUUGCCAGUUUGCUCUGUGUUGAGAACUGACCAAUAAGUUUUGUUUGCCAAUUAGCUUUCUGUGUGCAUGCUGUUAAUCCCCAUUUUACUAAUUUCUGAAUCAAACAUUAUUAUUUCUGUCCUCAACAAGUCGCGGCGCCAUGUUCUCUUUUUGUUCAGUUAGCUCUAUCAAAUAUAAUCAACCUGCCUAUGUUCCAUUUUGCUAUUUGUACUUAGGUAGAAAAAGCUAAAUUCUGUACAUGUACAUGUAAUGCUGAAGCUAUAUUGGUUGCUUGUUUCUUAAUUUUUUCUUCUGUAAUGAUGAUCUGAAAUGCCAUGCAGGUCACUAUUGGUGCUGCUGCUGCUGUGGUUGUUGGAGGUGUUGCUGUUGCAUCUGGCGGAGCUGCCGUUGGGGCCCCAAAAGGUAACCUUCAUCAGCCACAACCCCACAACAAUGGCUCAAGGUUUUGUGCCCCAUCACCCCUCUUUCUAAAUUACUGAAAUGAACCAAGAUCUCAUAUAUUUAGGAACAGAGGUAGUAGUAAGGUUAAAAUAGAACAACAAGGGAUGUUUCUAAUUUGGUUAUGCUAGAAUAAUGCAUCAACUCGUGGUAUUCUUGGAUGUUACUCUAAGGUGUCAAAAUGACAGUAAAACCUAGGCUCUUGCAUGGUUGUUGAAUUAAUUUUUCUAUUUUUAUUGCUAACAAAUAUUGCCUAUGUUGAAACUCUAAACAUGUGGAUGUUCCUCUCAUUUACAGGAAUUCUACCCGAAGAAAUUCAGAGGAAGCUUGAAGCCCCAGUUAGCGACUUGCUUUAUAUGUUAUUAACUUGUAAUGCUAAAUUUGUUGAGAAUUUUGAUGUACUGUUGCACAUGUUACUCGAAUGCUGGUAGUUAUG
rnacentral:lncRNA from 1 species